UCCAAAUCUGAAAUCAUUACUAAUUUUAAUCAGCUCAGUAAGAAUCUUGGCUGAGUAAUGACUUACAUAUUUAGCCUCAAGUUCCCUUGGCAGGAAAUCAGUGAGUACCUGAUUUAAGGUCCAUUUCAGAAUUUCAGUGCAAAGAACCAAGCAGCAGCUAUAGUAAUCACUUACAAGUUUUGUAGAAGAAAAAUAGACCACAGUAUAAAAAAUGGUAAGGAUUAAGUGGAAGGGCAUGGUUGAGGGAAAGGUUGCCAGAGUUUAGUGUCAAUAAAAUAUAAAAGAAGACCAGAAAGAUUUUAUGAAGAGACUUGCAAGAAGAAACAAAGCAGUGGUUUGGUGCAUAGAGGAGAGAUUUGAAGCUCCAUGCAUGUGGCAACAACUGAAGGAAUGCAAGACCAUCCACAAAUUGCAGGUCAGGAUCAAGGUUCUCCCUUAAGAGAGUGCAGAGGCUGAAGCGGGAGGGGAGCCUCUCCUGCUCACAAGCAAGCAGCCUGAUUACACUCCUACACAGCUACCACAACUAUCAUGGGGAAAGGCACCUUCAGCUGCAACCAAUGAGUGAAAUAAAGCAUGAAAGCAGAGCACUCAGAGAAAGAGUUGACCUAAUAAAAGGGAAACACCCUUGUAUUGGGCUGCUUCUAAGAAUAUGGCUCAAAGAGACCAAAGCAGACCUCAGACUUAAUUAGAGGAAGGGACCAAGAUCUUCCCUGAUCAGACUGAUAGAAACCAGACAAGGAUCAACAGACACCCACUGGAAACCACCCCAAGGAAUACUAACAAGGAUGAAAUUCUGAGGCCAAUCUUUUUGCAGGGGUUGGAGAAGAAACACAGCAACAUUAACAGCUGAGUCAGGCCAUGCUAAAUAAACUUUCUAUUGGA